rnacentral:snoRNA from 1 species
GAGCAAUGACGAUUCUUAAUUGGUCUCGUUCGUCUGAAUGGCUAUUCGCCUUGACGACAAUUCUGUUAUAUCACCACCCAUAAACCGAGCUC